GACGAACGCUGGCGGCGUGCUUAACACAUGCAAGUCGAACGCGUGGCGAACGGGUGAGUAAUACGUGGGUAACCUGCCCUCUUUUUGGGAUAAGCUUCGGAAACGGGUUCUAAUACCGAAUAAGGGGGAUGGGCUCGCGGCCUAUCUGCUUGUUGGUGGGGUGAUGAGCUACCAAGGCGGUGACGGGUAGCCCGCCUGAGAGGGGGACCGGCGACGUUGGAACUGAGGUGCGGCCCAGGCGAGUAAGGAGGGCGGCAGAGUGGGAAAUUGGACAAUGGGCGAAGGACUGAUGCAGCGAGACCGAGGAGGGGAUGAGGGCUUUCGGGUUGUAAACCUAGUGCGCUAUCGAACCGUUAGGUGGAGAAGAAGCGCCGGCUAACUACGUGCCAGCAGCCGCGGUAAUAC
rnacentral:rRNA from 1 species